AUGAACGCUGGCGGCGUGCCUAAUACAUGCCAGUCGAGCGAACGGACGAGAAGCUUGCUUCUCUGAUGUUAGCGGCGGACGGGUGAGUAACACGUGGAUAACCUACCUAUAAGACUGGGAUAACUUCGGGAAACCGGAGCUAAUACCGGAUAAUAUUUUGAACCGCAUGGUUCAAAAGUGAAAGACGGUCUUGCUGUCACUUAUAGAUGGAUCCGCGCUGCAUUAGAUAGUUGGUAAGGUAACGGCUUACCAAGGCAACGAUGCAUAGCCGACCUGAGAGGGUGAUCGGCCACACUGGAACUGAGACACGGUCCAGACUCCUACGGGAGGCAGCAGUAGGGAAUCUUCCGCAAUGGGCGAAAGCCUGACGGAGCAACGCCGCGUGAGUGAUGAAGGUCUUCGGAUCGUAAAACUCUGUUAUUAGGGAAGAACAUAUGUGUAAGUAACUGUGCACAUCUUGACGGUACCUAAUCAGAAAGCCACGGCUAACUACGUG
rnacentral:rRNA from 1 species